AAACUUUCAACAACGGAUCUCUUGGCUCUCGCAUCGAUGAAGAACGCAGCGAAAUGUGAUAAGUAAUGUGAAUUGCAGAAUUCAGUGAAUCAUCGAAUCUUUGAACGCAUCUUGCACUCCUUGGUAUUCCGAGGAGUAUGCCUGUUUGAGUGUCAU
rnacentral:rRNA from 1 species